UUUAACUGUAUUUUAAAAUCAAAUAUUUCGUGUUAGAAUUAAAUUUUAGCCAGGACUUUAAGCUCUAAGAACAAGAAUGAAAACCACAACUCAUAAAAUACACAUUAACCUUCAUUGUACUACUGCUCAUUAAGAAAUAUUUGAGCUAUGUUCUCAUCUUCUUAUAAUUUCUAUAUAACUAAAAUAGCACCAAAGUUUGAUCUCACAUUCUAGGAUCAAAUUCACACACGUCACACAUUUCCUUGCGGCAAUCAUCGUGUUACGGGGUGAACGUGUUGAUGAACCCAGUUCCCACCGUGGCAUUCACUGCUGUAACAGUAACACAGCUUAACUUUCAUGCGCGUAGUGCAAUCUUGCCCUUAAAUGUCACCCAAACCGUGUGACGAGCGUUGAUGAUCAUGACACCACAGCCAGCUAGGGCGUGCUGCUGCUGUAGUUGUUUAACGAUUUUCGACCCCAACCAUAGACUAUCGCCGAAUUAUACGGCGUGUUUAUGGCAUUUACCCCCUAAAACCGCCCAACAGGAAAAUCAGUCCCACUGUUCCACAUCUCACGAUAUCUGCAUCCGCAUGUCUGGCACAAAGAACAGCUAAGACGGAACGUUCACCUUAGGAUGGAAAACCACCACAUUCGAAACCCCAAGCUCUAGGAGAAGAAAGUCUAUGUUCAUUCGAAAUGGAAAGCGCACGAAGAAAGACCUUCCUAGUUGCAUGCAAAACCAAUUCCAAUAGAUCGGCUUUCCUCUUGUCGAUCCCGAGUGUUUACCAUCGAUCCAAGAUGAUUAGCAGAAGGCGAGGAAGAUGGGGAAAUGAUUGGGAAUUAAAUCAAAACGCGCCGCAGUUAUCAACGCAAAAGUGAGUUACGAACUUGCGAGGAUGCGAAAAACGCACCCAUUUCUCCAUGCAAACAGGGGUAUAGCGAACACGAUCGUCGGAUUUCGAUGAAAUUGUCCAUAAAUAACGUAAAUCCUCAGGGCCGUUCAAGCGUCGGUAUCGAGUGCGCGAAAGGUAGGAGAAAUCAUUGAAAGUGAAACUAGCACCAAAGGAAGGUGAUGUAGUAGUCGCGAACACCGAUUUGACCCACCCCCGAGCAACAGCGACCGGAUGUAUAAAACCCGGACUUGCUCUCGCCAAUGAACGGGGAGAGGCGACAGGCAGAAGAAAGUGUCGCGAUGUACCAGACGCGACUAGAGAGCUGAUGACGACUGCACACACUAUAUACGGCACGUAGAGAGGAACGAGAAACAACUCUCCGGUGGAAGUUUCCGGGCCGAAAAGUGAAAGCAGUUAGACCACAGGCGGUAUAGUAGUAGUGGGGUUUCGGAAACAUACGACCGGAUCGUUAGGCCCUUUUUGCUGCCUUUUGAGUUUUGUUUUUCUCCGAGCUCCAUGCGGUCUCAGGUAAAUGCUCCCAAAUGCAGCAGGCAAGCUUGUCCUGCACACUAAAAGGUCAUUAAACUUUGAUAGAAAAAAGUACAUUCAAGCAUUUGUGAAGGAUUCUCUGUAUAUUUCUAUCACCAAUGAACGAACUUAACCCGGGAUUAUUGUAAUACGUUUCUGUACCUCCAAUGAAUCGCCGCAAACCGACCCACAUUCCACUAAAAUACAUUCAAAUAACAACCAGCCACGAAUCACUCACGAGAUACCCCCGUUUGACAAACAUU